UACGUAGGGGGCAAGCGUUGUCCGGAAUCAUUGGGCGUAAAGAGCGUGUAGGCGGUUCGGUAAGUCGGCUGUGAAAGUCCAGGGCUCAACCCUGGGAUGCCGGUCGAUACUGCCGGACUAGAGUUCGGAAGGGGCGAGUGGAAUUCCCGGUGUAGCGGUGAAAUGCGCAGAUAUCGGGAGGAACACCUAUGGCGAAGGCAGCUCGCUGGGACGUUACUGACGCUGAGACGCGAAAGCGUGGGGAGCAAACAGG
rnacentral:rRNA from 1 species